GCGGCUUGUAAUGAUGACCACAAUUUCUUUCCCCAUCUGAUCGUAAAUGCGGAGUAAGAAGCAACUUUUGCCAGUUCUUGUCUGAACUUGCCGC